rnacentral:rRNA from 1 species
UUACGGCCAUAUCAGAUUGAAACGCCGGUUCUCAUACGAUCACCGAAUUUAAGCGACGUCGAGAAUGGUCAGUACCUAGAUGGGUGAUCGCUUCGGAAGGCCGGGUGAUGUAA